rnacentral:rRNA from 1 species
CCUACGGGUGGCAGCAGUAGGGAAUUUUCGUCAAUGGGCGCAAGCCUGAACGAGCGAUGCCGCGUGAGUGAAGAAGGCCUUCGGGUCGUAAAGCUCUGUUGCGGGGGAAAAAAGGCAGCAUCAGGAAAUGGGUGCUGACUGAUGGUGCCCCGCCAGUACGUCACGGCUAACUACGUGCCAGCAGCCGCGGUAAUACGUAGGUGGCGAGCGUUAUCCGGAAUGAGUGGGCGUAAAGGGUGCGCAGGCGGUCCUGCAAGUCUGGAGUGAAACGCAUGAGCUCAACUCAUGCAUGGCGUUGGAAACUGGAGGACUGGAGAGAAGGAGAGGGCGGUGGAACUCCAUGGGGAGCGGUAAAAUGCGUAGAUAUCUGGAAGAACAACAGGGGGGAAGGCGGCCGCCUGGCCUGUUGCUGACGCUGAGGCACGAAAGCGUGGGGAGCAAAUAGGAUUAGAUACCCGGGUAGUC